AUUGAACGCUGGCGGCAUGCCUUACACAUGCAAGUCGAACGGCAGCACGGGCUUCGGUCUGGUGGCGAGUGGCGAACGGGUGAGUAACGUAUCGGAACGUACCUUUCAGUGGGGGAUAACGUAGCGAAAGUUACGCUAAUACCGCAUAUUCUGUGAGCAGGAAAGCAGGGGAUCGCAAGACCUUGCGCUGAUUGAGCGGCCGAUAUCAGAUUAGCUAGUUGGUGGGGUAAAGGCCUACCAAGGCGACGAGCUGUAGCGGGUCUGAGAGGAUGAUCCGCCACACUGGAACUGAGACACGGUCCAGACUCCUACGGGAGGCAGCAGUGGGGAAUUUUGGACAAUGGGGGCAACCCUGAUCCAGCCAUGCCGCGUGAGUGAAGAAGGCCUUCGGGUUGUAAAGCUCUUUCGGCAGGAACGAAACGGUAGUUACUAAUACUAGCUGCUAAUGACGGUACCUGAAGAAGAAGCACCGGCUAACUACGUGCCAGCCGCCGCAGUAAAAC
rnacentral:rRNA from 1 species